GAUGAACGCUGGCGGCGUGCCUAAUACAUGCAAGUCGAGCGAACAGACGAGGAGCUUGCUCCUCUGACGUUAGCGGCGGACGGGUGAGUAACACGUGGAUAACCUACCUAUAAGACUGGGAUAACUUCGGGAAACCGGAGCUAAUACCGGAUAAUAUAUUGAACCGCAUGGUUCAAUAGUGAAAGACGGUUUUGCUGUCACUUAUAGAUGGAUCCGCGCCGCAUUAGCUAGUUGGUAAGGUAACGGCUUACCAAGGCAACGAUGCGUAGCCGACCUGAGAGGGUGAUCGGCCACACUGGAACUGAGACACGGUCCAGACUCCUACGGGAGGCAGCAGUAGGGAAUCUUCCGCAAUGGGUGAAAGCCUGACGGAGCAACGCCGCGUGAGUGAUGAAGGUCUUCGGAUCGUAAAACUCUGUUAUUAGGGAAGAACAAAUGUGUAAGUAACUAUGCACGUCUUGACGGUACCUAAUCAGAAGGCCACGGCUAACUACGUG
rnacentral:rRNA from 1 species